rnacentral:rRNA from 1 species
CGUUUUAACUUAAAAAAAAGUUGUUAAAUACCCGAUCCCAUACCGAACUCGAACGUAGCUUUUUUUGUCAUGAAUACUGUUUUGGAUGGGAACCCUGACUUGUUAAA